AUGCGCCAACCCCGCCGUCACCCGUCGAUCCGGCUGCGGCGCUGCGCACUUCCACCCUCGUUUCCCUCCCUGGUCCAGCGACGUCACCUACUCCCUUCAACUCCCGUCUCGAUCUUCAUGGCCCUCAGAUCUAGCAGCCCUCGGCCACGACGCUGCCGGAUCUGGCCGGCUUGGCCUCGUCGCCCCAACCAAUAGGUGCUCAACGCCACUCCUCAGGAUUCAGGAACGCAGCGGUCUUCUUCGUCAGCUCUAUAUCCCUCCACCUCCUACGCCAUGUAUCGGCCAUCUACCCUUUCUUGAAGCUCCUCCUCAUCCAAGUGGCCACCUGAUGUUGCCGUGUGGCCCACGCUCACUCGCGCCUUCGCCCACCAGUACCAGGAUUUUCUCGUGUCUUUCAAGUUGAAUACCCGGGAGAUGGAGGAGAUGGUGCCAUGGCGGGCUGCUAUGGUGGUGAGGUUCACGUUCUACAGUGAGGCCAUGGCCAUCGUUGUUUGCAUGUGGCAGUUGGGCCUAUCUGAAGAGCAAUAAUGUAAUGCUUUUGAGCUUAGGCAAAUGAAGUUGUAUUUAAAAGCGGACGAGAUGAUGUUUGUCAACACGAAACUGAAAAGGGAUGUGAAACAAUACUGGAGGAAUCGUGAUCUAUGGCAAGGGUGAUGAUGUCUAUGGCGAUGAUUCUCAUGAUCUAUAUGGUGAUGAGCGGUAUGAUCCAUAUGGUGAUGAAGGGUGAUGAGUCUAAUGAUCUUUCUUCAGGACAUGCAACAAAGUGAACUUCUGAAGUUUUGGUCAAUUUUAGCUUAGGAAUAAUGCUUGGACCAUUAUAUAUAGUUACUAUUUUGUUUUGCAUUUCAAACUUCCUAGAUAGAUCAUGAUGAACAAUGUAAUUUGGAUGCACGUCAUUUGGGCUAUGGUAUUUUAAAAUUUGCGCUAAAUAUAAUAUAUGUUACUUGGUCA
rnacentral:rRNA from 1 species